rnacentral:lncRNA from 1 species
CGCUGUAGCUGAGCUGCAGAAAUAGGAUGGGGGUGUUUGUACAACUCUUCUCUGGAUGCCUAGCCAGGGACAUUUCUUUCUUUCUAGUUUUUGUCUAACUCUAUGAAAUACUUUCUCCCACCCUGGCUGCCGAAGGUCAUUUCCACUGCUUGGUCAUUUUAUAAUGACUGUAAUAUUGGAAGAUCUGGCUGUGUGGCCAGUUUGUUCUGCCCUUAGGUCUUUGGCAGGAGAUUUGUGAGUUUGUAUGUGUGUGGGGGAGGGGAGGCUGCAUGUGAUCCAUCCAAAAGCCUCAUCCACAUAGGCUGAUAAAAGCAAACUCAAAGCAAGGAGACGCCCUAGACUGCGCUCAGGCCCUCCAACCACCUGUCCUUGCUCUAAAAAUGGACUCAUGGCUCCAGGAUCUGGACUCUGUAUCCUACUUGGAUUGCUGCCUCUGAUAUCCUUUGCAGGGUGGCAGGGCGUGUGGGAAUUCAGACAAGCUGAAUCUCAUCAACAACUUGAUGAACACCUGCUUUCAUUCCCGGUGCUGGACGCUGGUGCAGCCGUACUCUGGCUGGCAGCGCUAAAAACCCUACAGUCCACGAGAGAGCAGUGAACAGGAAUAUUUUCAAGAGCAGAUGGGACGUACCUUCAAAACGCAGGAUUGUCCCACUGAAACUGGGACAUCUGGCAACCCUAAAAAAGCCCAAACUAGAUGAAAUAAAAAUUAUGAGAUGGAGAAGCAGAAAAAUAUGUCUUCGCAUUGAUUAGCAAGGAAUGUAAUUAAUCUCCUUCAACUCCCUUUUCAGUCCUGUGGCGUAAAACAAGGAGAAAUCGCCGUCUUGCUGCGUUCCCCUGUGACAAUUCUUGGUGAUAAUUUCAAAGUAGUAGGAGUUUUAAAACUUCACAGUAAUGCCUCCCCUUCGCUUGCUCAGAAGUGUUCAGGGAGUCAUAAAAUUCACGCCCAAACUUCCUCAAUACAAUGCUUUUCUUAUUAGCCUGGCCGACAAUAGAGGAGAGAACACUCAGCUAAGAAGAAUCAGGCCAACUUUUAUAGUUUUAUUAGGAAAUUAUACAAACAAAUCUUCCUUUGCCUGUUAGGUGGUUUUAUUCCGGAUUUCUCUUUUUGUGGCGUGCAGAAGCAAGAGGGGGAGAACAGACCAGCCCCAAAGAGGGGAGGGGAGAUCUCCUGCUUUUCUUCUCAACUGCCCUUCCUUCCUCCUUACUCUGUUUGGCUCCUGGCAUCCUAUGUUAUUUUGGUCAUUUUCUUCUUAUUAGACCUGUAUUCCACUGAGACUGAACACCAUAAAAUGGACACUGGUGUUAGUGUGUGGCUGUGUACCUGUGUCUCCCUUCCCAGCCAUGCUCAGGUCCAGCACCAUGCCUGGAACACUGUAGGUAUUGAAAAGUAAAAUAUUUGUGGACUUGGAUAGGCCGGACCCCUCACACUGACCAAUAACUCUGCAUUGGUCCUGAGUACAGUUUGGCAUCUGCUAGUGGACAGGCCACACAAGCAGGAACAGAGACAAAAUCUAAGAAAUUAAUCCCUUUAAAGCCAAAAAUUUACUCUUUAUGAAGGUGUCUUAAAAUAUACAUACAUAUGUAUUUCCUUAUUGAAUUAUAGUUUGUUCUCCCAAAUAUUCUAUUAUGCCCACUUCUUAAAUUAAAGAAGUAUUAUGGACUGAAUUAUGUACCCUCCAAAUUCAUAUGUUGAGGCCCUACCCCCCAACGUGAUACUAUUUGGAGAUACGACUUUGAGAGGUAAUUAGGGUUAGAUGAGGUCAGGAGGGUGGGUCUUUAUGAUGGGAUUAAUGACCUUACAAGAAGAGGGAGAGAGAACCUCUCUGUCCAUGUGCAUGCCCGGAGGACAGGCCAUGUGAAGACCCAGUGAGAUGGCGGCCAUCUGCAAGCCAGAAAGAGAGUUCUCAUCAGGAACUGAGUUAAUUGACACCUUUAUCUAGGACUUCUAGCCUCCAGAAUGAUGAAAAAUUAAUUUCUGAUCUUUAAGCCAUCCGGUCUAUGGUAAUUUUGUUAUGGCAGCCGAGCUGACGAAUAAAAGAAGUGAUGCUCAGAAUGGCUAAACACCAUGCCCAAGGGCACAAGGCUGUGCAACGGUAAAGCUGAGACAAGAACUCACAUCUCUGACUCCAAGCCCAGGAGAAUUUCCACUACAGCAUGUAGCCGGCUCUUCAUGACCCACCACACAUGACUGUGUGAACUGCAUGUGGACGCUGUGUCGGCAGCUCUUUACCCCAGGGGUUAUUUCCUGGAACAAGCCACUGAUGUCGAGCAGUGCAUGGGAGUUAAAAGACUUGGGCUUGCCUCACCCUCUUCCACAAGGAAGCUGUGAAACCAGGCAGGCUGCCUCCCCCAGCCUCACUUUCCUUCUACGAAUAAUGGGAAUUCAUGAGAAUUAAACUGGAUGAUAAACUUGAAAGAGAUUUGUGAGCUGUUAAGUAACUAAAAACAACAGAGAGCACAUAGAUUUUAGUCAGAAAGCCCCUCAGAGAUGAUCGAGACUAUUUCUCUCAAUUUACAAAUAAAGAAAUUGAUAAUAAACAAUGAUCUUUGAGAACUAACCCUGCCUGAGUCACCUUCAAUUCAUCCCUGAGAGAGAACAGCUGAGGGCCUUGUUGAUUUGCACAAUUAAGAGAGAAGUCAGGGCUAAUUUAUUCGUUAGGCACAGAAGGUGUGAUAUCUAGGGCCCACCAGACUUUCAGGGCCCAUUUUUAAUUUCUUGUAAGAUCAGAAGGAAAAACUUAACUUUUAG